rnacentral:tmRNA from 1 species
GGGGCUGAAAUAGCUUUCGACAAUUGGACCUUAUCAGGAUAUUUUGCGAACCGAAUGUGCACGUUAAGCAUGAUGUUAAUUGCAAACUUUACUGCAAAAGCAAAGGCAUUCUUUGCGAGCUUGUCUCCAAAAAUGGCCUUCGCACCAAUCGCUGCUUAAUUUAGCGAUCGUCUCCUCGUUUAGGCAACAUAGAGCGGGCGAGGUGUCAUACGUAUGUUGCUAGCUGUGUGUUCGGGCAGCGGCGAAUGCGCGGGACUUUUUCCGCGUAACCUCCCACGUUUUUUCGACUUAUUUUUGAGCGGCGGGUGGUUAUAAAUUUUUAAAUAAGUCUAUGUUCGUAGACGAAUAUCAUGAUACCAGUUGGACCCGGGGGCGGUACCCGGCAGCUCCACCA